AACGAACGCUGGCGGCGUGCUUAACACAUGCAAGUCGAACGGAAAGGCCCUGCUUUUGUGUGGUGCUCGAGUGGCGAACGGGUGAGUAACACGUGAGUAACCUGCCCUUGACUUUGGGAUCACUUCAGGCAACUGGGGCUAAUACCGGCUAGGAGCUCCUGCUGCAUGGGGGGGGUUGGAAAGUUUCGGCGGUUGGGGAUGGACUCGCGGCUUAUCAGCUUGUUGGUGGGGUAGUGGCUUACCAAGGCUUUGACGGGUAGCCGGCCUGAGAGGGUGAGCGGCAGCAUGGGGACUGAGAUACGGCCCAGACUCCUACGGGAGGCAGCAGGGGGGAAUAUUGCACAAUGGGCGGAAGCCUGAUGCGGCAACGCCGCGUGCGGGAUGACGGCCUUCGGGUUGUAAACCGCUUUCGCCUGUGACGAAGCGUGAGUGACGGUAAUGGGUAAAGAAGCACCGGCUAACUACGUGCCAGCCGCCGCAGUAAAAC
rnacentral:rRNA from 1 species